CAUCUUAUUAAUUAAGUACUGUUGUUGCAAGGGCUCUAAAGAGAAAACGAGAUCGAUGCUGGAUCGAGCUAGAGUACUGCUGAAGAUCAGGUCAUCAUAAGUCAUGAGUGAACCUAUAAUAAAAGUACUAGGACCGAUAGGAUAUUCUUCAAUUUAGGACCCUCCAAUACUCAAGUAAGCCAGAGCCUUGAGAACAGAUAAUGGAAACGAAAAAACUGAAAGGCA
rnacentral:lncRNA from 1 species